UACGUAGGUGACAAGCGUUGUCCGGAUUUACUGGGCGUAAAGAGCGCGCAGGCGGUCGAUCAAGUCGAGUGUGAAAGCCCCCGGCUCAACUGGGGAGGGUCAUUCGAUACUGAUCGACUCGAAGGCAGGAGAGGGUAGUGGAAUUCCCGGUGUAGUGGUGAAAUGCGUAGAUAUCGGGAGGAACACCGAGUGGCGAAGGCGACUACCUGGCCUGUUCUUGACGCUGAGGCGCGAAAGCUAGGGGAGCAAACGGGG
rnacentral:rRNA from 1 species